rnacentral:lncRNA from 1 species
AACCAUACUCCCAUCUGUCAUGGCAGCUGCAGCAAGCCUCACCCAAGGAGAGUCUGGCUGGAGGCCAAACAACACAAAACCAGCACACUUAACAAAAAUAUAACCAAUGACCCUUGCAGAGUCCACUUAACUCCCCUCCACCAGAGCAGGUGCUGGUAUCCACAGCUGAGAGACCUGAAGAUGGAUCACAUCACAGGACUCCUUGCAGACAUUCUCCAGUACCAGCCCAGAGCCUGACCUGUCCACGCUGAGUUUAUAGCAACUGUCAAUUACGGUUCAGAUUUUCCUACCCCAGCGUGACUUUCCAAAGAGGCUUCUGCUCAUGGAUUUCUGCUCCAGGAAGAUGCAACAGGAAGGUCCUCACAAGAUGGCUGAACAGAUGCAGGUGCUGUGCCUCUGGACUGCCUAGCCUCCAGAACUAUGCAAUACCAAGUAAAGACUGCAAAUGACUGUGCCACAGGGAGGAAAAGCAGUCAACCUGUCUUUAGGGACCUGUUCAAAUUUCUGGUGUCUCAGUGGAUGUUGAUUUCUGACAUAAAGCCAUUUGUGCACAUGAGGAAGAUACUGUAGGAGGCAUUUGCUGUGAGCCAGUGUUUGGUCUUUAGCUGAAACAGACAUUUAGCCAUAAACCACCAACCAGAAAGAUCAAUAAGACACGGUUCCUCUUCUGGUGGGCCACAUAAAGGAAGUUGUCAUGUUCCAACUUAAUGUGUGGGUUGAGAGGGAUCUGCACAAACGAGCGUCAUCGGGGAGAAAAAUAUAUCCCAGUCUGCGUGGUCACGGGGAGCUUCCUGGGCAAGCAACAUCUAGACUGGUGUUUGACCAAACUACUGGGCACCAUACCCCAGCCAAGUCAGCAUAUAAUGUGAACCAUCACAGUGGGAGACAUGUCACAAAGUGGUAAGACAGCAAGAAUUGGUGGUCUGGGCUGGAUUCCAGAGAACCUGGACUGUGCCUAUGAAGCACCACUGCCCUGUAGACCUGGGAUAAUAAACACUGAUGCCUAAAGGGACCAGGCAGUAGACCUGACUGGGGAGCUAAGUGAUCUCGUGUGACUCUCUAUGCCUCGUUGCCACCAGCGUGGGCCAUCUCCAGGGGCUCUCAAACCGAUAGAAGACCUUGCGGUGUGGGAAAACAGCUCCAGAGCUUCUAAGCUGAGCGGAUUGUUCCUAGUGAGGAAGGUCUUGUCCCAUCUGUUCCAAGCUAUUUGUCCAUGUAAAACUGUCAACGUUCCAAGCCACUGACUGACAGGGUAAGAAGAGUGAGUCUCAAGAGAGUGAGGAACGGUGAAUCUUUGGCAGACUCUGUGUGUGCCCAUGGAAGAGACAGUGACAGAAAUUAUGUAAUGAAAAAAAUGUAGCACAAGCCUUAUGAAUUUUUACUUUUCACUCCAUGGGAUUCCCAUAUCAAAAGACCUAUUCUACACAAAAUAAAGUUCUCUAUGAAGAAUUGUCUCUGCUCCCCAAGCUAGUUAAAACAAAAGUUGUAAUAGAAUAUCUGAGAACCAAAUGGCCCCUCAGGAUCCUAGAAUCCGAAAGACAAAUAGCAUGCUAAUAAAU